UACGGUCUCAUCACGUUGAAACAUUGGUUCUCGUGUGAUCAACGAAGUUAAGCAACGUCGAGCCUGGUCAGUACCUAGAUGGGCGACUGCUUGGGAAUAACAAAU